AUGCCUCUUCUUAAUAUCAAUAUGCCUUGUCCAUUGCUGUUCUGGUUAGUGUUUAUUGGCUUAUUUCACUGUAGAGCCUCUAGUCCUGCUCACUAUACCUUAUCCAACCUAUUAGUUCCACCACCCACACAUGCAAUGACAUCUCCUGGUUUCAAUUAUGUUUCUAGAGACAAUAUCUCUCUCUUCAUCACUCAAUACCUAGGUUUACCUCCACUGUAUUCACAUCCUACCAUAACUUUGUCUGUACAUUAUACCUUGAUGCUCUUUUAUCGCCCCCAGAAACCUCCUUUUACUCUCUGUUCCAGACGUUCUAGACGACCAAUUCUUAUUGCUUUUAGCCGCACCCUUAUUCUACUCCUCCUAUGUUCCUCUGGCGAUGUAGAGGUGAAUCCAGGCCCUGCAGUGCCUAGCUCCACUCCUAUUUCCCAGGCGCUCUCUGUUGACGACUUCUGUAACCGUAAUAGCCUUGGUUUCAUGCAUGUUAACAUUAGAAGCCUCCUCCCUAAAUUUGUUCUAUUCACUGCUUUAGCACACUAUGCCAACCCGGAUGUUUUAGCUGUGUCUGAAUCCUGGCUUAGGAAGACCACCAAAAAUUCUGAAAUUUUAAUUAGGAAGACCACCAAAAAUUCUGAAAUUUUAAUUCCAAACUACAACAUUUUCAGACAAGAUAGAACUGCCAAAGGGGGCGGUGUUGCAAUCUACUGCAAAGAUAGCCUGCAGAGUUCUGUCCUACUAUCCAGAUCUGUACCCAAACAAUUUGAACUUCUACUUUUAAAAAUCCACCUCUCUAAAAACAAGUCUCUCACCGUUGCCGCCUGCUAUAGACCACCCUCUGCCCCCAGCUGUGCUCUGGACACCAUAUGUGAACUGAUUGCCCCCCAUAUAUCUUCAGAGCUCGUGCUGCUAGGCGACCUAAACUGGAACAUGCUAAACACCCCAGCCAUCCUACAAUCUAAACUUGAUGCCCUCAAUCUCACACAAAUUAUCAAUGAACCUACCAGGUACCUCCCCAAAGCCUUAAACACGGGCACCCUCAUAGAUAUCAUCCUAACCAACUUGCCCUCUAAAUACACCUCUGCUGUCUUCAACCAAGAUCUCAGCGAUCACUGCCUCAUUGCCUGCAUCCGUAAUGGGUCAGCGGUCAAACAACCUCCACUUAUCACUGUAAAACGCUCCCUGAAACACUUCAGUGAGCAUGCCUUUCUAAUCGACCUGGCCGGGGUAUCCUGGAAGGAUAUUGAUCUCAUCCCGUCAGUAGAGGAUGCCUGGAUAUUUUUUUUAAAUGCCUUCCUAACCAUCUUAAAUAAACAUGCCCCAUUCAAGAAAUUUAGAACCAGGAACAGAUAUAGCCUUGGUUCACUCCAGACCUGA
rnacentral:lncRNA from 1 species